rnacentral:rRNA from 1 species
CCUUGGAAACGAGGUCUAAUACCGGAUAUGACCUGCUCCUGCAUGGGGGUGGGUGGAAAGCUCCGGCGGUGCAGGAUGAUCCCGCGGCCUAUCAGCUUGUUGGUGGGGUAACGGCCCACCAAGGCGACGACGGGUAGCCGGCCUGAGAGGGCGACCGGCCACACUGGGACUGAGACACGGCCCACACUCCUACGGGAGGCAGCAGUGGGGAAUAUUGCACAAUGGGCGAAAGCCUGAUGCAGCGACGCCGCGUGAGGGAUGACGGCCUUCGGGUUGUAAACCUCUUUCAGCAGGGAAGAAGCGCAAGUGACGGUACCUGCAAAAGAAGCACCGGCUAACUACGUGCCAGCAGCCGCGGUAAUACGUAGGGUGCGAGCGUUGUCCGGAAUUAUUGGGCGUAAAGAGCUCGUAGGCGGCCUGUCGCGUCGGAUGUGAAAGCCCGGGGCUUAACCCCGGGUCUGCAUUCGAUACGGGCAGGCUAGAGUGUGGUAGGGGAGAUCGGAAUUCCUGGUGUAGCGGUGAAAUGCGCAGAUAUCAGGAGGAACACCGGUGGCGAAGGCGGAUCUCUGGGCCAUUACUGACGCUGAGGAGCGAAAGCGUGGGGAGCGAACAGGAUUAGAUACCCUGGUAGUCCACGCCGUAAACGUUGGGAACUAGGUGUUGGCGACAUUCCACGUCGUCGGUGCCGCAGCUAACGCAUUAAGUUCCCCGCCUGGGGAGUACG